rnacentral:lncRNA from 1 species
AUCUUCAAUCGUCAGCCAACUUUGCACAAAAUGUCCAUGAUGGGGCAUCGGGUCCGCAUCCUCCCCUGGUCUACAUUUCGCUUGAAUCUUAGUGUGACAACUCCAUACAAUGCAGACUUUGAUGGAGAUGAGAUGAAUUUGCACCUGCCUCAGUCUCUGGAGACACGGGCAGAGAUCCAAGAGUUGGCCAUGGUACCUCGAAUGAUUGUCACUCCCCAGAGCAAUCGACCUGUCAUGGGUAUUGUGCAAGACACACUCACAGCGGUCCGCAAAUUCACUAAGAGAGAUGUCUUCCUGGAGCGGGUGUGUGAUCCAAAUGGAAGCUGGUCUUGGGUGGGCAAAAGGGUCUGAGUGUAAAAGUGCCAGGGAAGGAGAGCUACAGUGUAGCUCCUUAAUUUUUUUCUUAAUUUUUAAUUUUUCUUUAAUUUAUGAUUCUGUAAAAUAAAGAAGAGAAAGUGUGUUCUUUUU